UUGAUGACAGCGGGGUGCUACGCCUGAUUCUAACCCUACGACGGUGUGGCUGAGAUUUAUACCCAUAUAACCUGAUGCGGGUAAUGCCGCCGAAGGGAGUCGCAAGUAUGUGAGU
rfam:Prevotella sp. CAG:1031 genomic scaffold, scf21